rnacentral:rRNA from 1 species
GAUGAACGCUGGCGGCGUGCCUAAUACAUGCAAGUCGAGCGAACAGACGAGGAGCUUGCUCCUCUGACGUUAGCGGCGGACGGGUGAGUAACGCGUGGAUAACCUACCUAUAAGACUGGGAUAACUUCGGGAAACCGGAGCUAAUACCGGAUAAUAUAUUGAACCGCAUGGUUCAAUAGUGAAAGACGGUUUUGCUGUCACUUAUAGAUGGAUCCGCGCCGCAUUAGCUAGUUGGUAAGGUAACGGCUUACCAAGGCGACGAUGCGUAGCCGACCUGAGAGGGUGAUCGGCCACACUGGAACUGAGACACGGUCCAGACUCCUACGGGAGGCAGCAGUAGGGAAUCUUCCGCAAUGGGCGAAAGCCUGACGGAGCAACGCCGCGUGAGUGAUGAAGGUCUUCGGAUCGUAAAACUCUGUUAUUAGGGAAGAACAAAUGUGUAAGUAACUAUGCACGUCUUGACGGUACCUAAUCAGAAAGCCACGGCUAACUACGUG